rnacentral:rRNA from 1 species
GACGAACCGUGCGAACGUUAUUCGGAAUCACUGGGCUUAAAGCGCGUGUAGGCGGGGCGGCACGUCGGUCGGCUGAAAGCCCCCGGCUCAACCGGGGAACGGGCGCCGAUACGACCGCCCUCGAGGGACGUAGGGGGACCUGGAACUUCCGGUGGAGCGGUGAAAUGCGUUGAGAUCGGAAGGAACGCCCGUGGCGAAAGCGAGGUCCUGGACGUCUGCUGACGCUGAGACGCGAAAGCCAGGGGAGCGAACGGG